rnacentral:rRNA from 1 species
GACGAACGCUGGCGGCGUGCUUAACACAUGCAAGUCGAACGGAAAGGCUCCUGCUUGCAGGGGUACUCGAGUGGCGAACGGGUGAGUAACACGUGGGUGAUCUGCCUUGUACUCUGGGAUAAGCUUGGGAAACUGGGUCUAAUACCGGAUAGUAGCCGCCCUUAGUGUGGUGGUUGGAAAGUUUUUUCGGUGCAAGAUGAGCUCGCGGCCUAUCAGCUUGUUGGUGGGGUAAUGGCCUACCAAGGCGUCGACGGGUAGCCGGCCUGAGAGGGUGUACGGCCACAUUGGGACUGAGAUACGGCCCAGACUCCUACGGGAGGCAGCAGUGGGGAAUAUUGCACAAUGGGCGGAAGCCUGAUGCAGCGACGCCGCGUGGGGGAUGACGGCCUUCGGGUUGUAAACUCCUUUCGACAGGGACGAAGCUUUUUGUGACGGUACCUGUAUAAGAAGCACCGGCUAACUACGUGCCAGCAGCCGCGGUAAUACGUAGGGUGUGAGCGUUGUCCGGAAUUACUGGGCGUAAAGAGCUCGUAGGUGGUUUGUCGCGUCGUCUGUGAAAUUCCGGGGCUUAACUCCGGGCGUGCAGGCGAUACGGGCAUAACUUGAGUGCUGUAGGGGAGACUGGAAUCCCUGGUGUAGCGGUGAAAUGCGCAGAUAUCAGGAGGAACACCGAUGGCGAAGGCAGGUCUCUGGGCAGUAACUGACGCUGAGGAGCGAAAGCAUGGGUAGCGAACAGGAUUAGAUACCCUGGUAGUCCAUGCCGUAAACGGUGGGCGCUAGGUGUAGGGGGCUUCCACGUCUUCUGUGCCGUAGCUAACGCAUUAAGCGCCCCGCCUGGGGAGUACGGCCGCAAGGCUAAAACUCAAAGGAAUUGACGGGGGCCCGCACAAGCGGCGGAGCAUGUGGAUUAAUUCGAUGCAACGCGAAGAACCUUACCUGGGCUUGACAUACACCAGAUCGCUGCAGAGAUGUAGUUUCCCUUGUGGUUGGUGUACAGGUGGUGCAUGGUUGUCGUCAGCUCGUGUCGUGAGAUGUUGGGUUAAGUCCCGCAACGAGCGCAACCCUUGUCUUAUGUUGCCAGCAUUUUAGUUGGGGACUCAUGAGAGACUGCCGGGGUUAACUCGGAGGAAGGUGGGGAUGACGUCAAAUCAUCAUGCCCCUUAUGUCCAGGGCCUCACACAUGCUACAAUGGUCGGUACAACGCGCGGCGACACUGUGAGGUGGAGCGAAUCGCUGAAAGCCGGCCUUAGUUCGGAUUGGGGUCUGCAACUCGACCCCAUGAAGUCGGAGUCGCUAGUAAUCGCAGAUCAGCAAUGCUGCGGUGAAUACGUUCCCGGGCCU